AUCUUCUGGGACAUAUCUGUCACCUAUGAGGUGAGGCCCUUCUAGAAAAGAGAAGUUGACGAUGGCAUCCUGAAGGAAACCACACUGCCAACUUGGGGGCCAGUGAAAUAAGAAAUGUUUGCUACUUCACUACAGGUCACAGUCCAUCAUUAAGGGAAAUCAGGACAAGAACUUAAGGAAGGAACUGAACUGAAUCAAUGACCAUGGAGAAAUGCUGCUUAUUGGCUUGCUCAGCCUGCAUUCUUAUGCCUCUCAAGAUCACCUGGCCAGAGAUGACACCACCAAAGUGGACUGGGCCUGCCCAUAUCAAUCAUUAAUUAAGAAAAUACUCCACAGUCCAAUCUGAUGGAUACAAUUACUUUGACUUCUCAUCAAGCAACCAGCUUCAAGCCCCCUAGACUGCUCUGCUGGGUCUUCCCUAACCGUCCCAGAG